rnacentral:rRNA from 1 species
UGCCCCGAAAACCUAAGGAUUCCUCUGGAAGGUUCGUCCACGGAGGGUGAGUCAGGGCCUAAGGCGAGGCUGAAAAGCGUAGUCGAUGGAUAACAGGUUAAUAUUCCUGUACUGUUUAUGAUUGAUAACGAGGGACGAAGAAGGCUAGAUCAGCCGGAUGUUGGUUACCGGUUUAAACUUUUAAUGUGUUGAAGGGUGGAGAAAACAUCACGAGCAAAGAAGUGAAUACAAGAUACCAAGGUAUCAAAGUGAUCGAUGUCAUACUUCCUAGAAAAGCUUGAUAUAUCUUAAAUCAUAAGUACCUGUACCCGAAACCGACACAGGUAGGUAGGUAGAGUAUACCAAGGGGCGCGAGAUAACUCUCUCUAAGGAACUCGGCAAAAUGGCCCCGUAACUUCGGAAGAAGGGGUACCCUUUUAGGGUUGCAAUAACCAGGCCCAAGCGACUGUUUAUCAAAAACACAGGUCUCCGCUAAGUCGUAAGACAAUGUAUGGGGGCUGACGCCUGCCCAGUGCCGGAAGGUUAAAGAAGUUGGUUAAUAUUAUUAUGAAGCUGACGACUGAAGCCCCGGUGAACGGCGGCCGUAACAAUAACGGUCCUAAGGUAGCGAAAUUCCUUGUCGGGUAAGUUCCGACCCGCACGAAAGGCGUAACGAUUUGGGUACUGUCUCGGAGAGAGACUCGGCGAAAUAGACUUGUCUGUGAAGAUGCGGACUACCUGCACCUGGACAGAAAGACCCUAUGAAGCUUUACUGUAACUUGGAAUUGAGUUUGGGCUUUUCUUGCGCAGCAUAGGUGGGAGGCUAAGACAACAAGUUUGCGGAUUUGUUAGAGCUGUUAGUGAGAUACCACUCUAGAAAAGCUAAAAUUCUAACCUUGAAAGCCGUUAUCCGGCCAAGGAACAGUUUCAGGUGGGCAGUUUGACUGGGGCGGUCGCCUCCUAAAAAGUAACGGAGGCGUGCAAAGGUUCCCUCAGGCUGGUUGGAAAUCAGUCGUAGAGUAUAAAGGCAUAAGGGAGCUUGACUGCAAGACCUACAAGUCGAGCAGAGACGAAAGUCGGCCUUAGUGAUCCGACAGUGCCGAGUGGAAGGGCUGUCGCUCAACGGAUAAAAGUUA